AUUGAACGCUGGCGGCAUGCCUUACACAUGCAAGUCGAACGGUAACGCGGGGCAACCUGGCGACGAGUGGCGAACGGGUGAGUAACGCAUCGGAACGUGCCCAGUAGUGGGGGAUAGCCCGGCGAAAGCCGGAUUAAUACCGCAUACGACCUACGGGUGAAAGAGGGGGAUCGCAAGACCUCUCGCUAUUGGAGCGGCCGAUGUCAGAUUAGGUAGUUGGUGGGGUAAAGGCCUACCAAGCCUACGAUCUGUAGCUGGUCUGAGAGGACGACCAGCCACACUGGGACUGAGACACGGCCCAGACUCCUACGGGAGGCAGCAGUGGGGAAUUUUGGACAAUGGGCGCAAGCCUGAUCCAGCCAUGCCGCGUGCGGGAAGAAGGCCUUCGGGUUGUAAACCGCUUUUGUCAGGGAAGAAACGCUCUGGACUAAUACUCUGGGGUAAUGUCGGUACCUGAAGAAUAAGCACCGGCUAACUACGUGCCAGCAGCCGCCGCAGUAA
rnacentral:rRNA from 1 species